UACAGAGGGUGCGAGCGUUAAUCGGAUUUACUGGGCGUAAAGCGUGCGUAGGCGGCUUUUUAAGUCGGAUGUGAAAUCCCUGAGCUUAACUUAGGAAUUGCAUUCGAUACUGGGAGGCUAGAGUAUGGGAGAGGAUGGUAGAAUUCCAGGUGUAGCGGUGAAAUGCGUAGAGAUCUGGAGGAAUACCGAUGGCGAAGGCAGCCAUCUGGCCUAAUACUGACGCUGAGGUACGAAAGCAUGGGGAGCAAACAGG
rnacentral:rRNA from 1 species